AAGAAUCAGACUUUUAUGGCCAGUGUGGACAACAGCUGGAUCUCCUGGGUGGUUGUUGGAGUCUUCCAGCUGAAGCCCCUCAAGUGAACUCUUUUUAAUAUGCUGGGGGAUAACAAAGUUCCAGCUGAGGAGGUGCUCGUGACUGUGGAGCUGCUUAAGGAAAAGGCUGAGGAGUUUUAUCGCUUGUACCAGAACUUGCCCCUGUCCUCCCACCCUGGGGUGGCCCUGUCAGAGCUGAGUACUCAGUGUGUCACUCCUGCCCAGACGAGAGGACCUUCUACCCGGUGCUGCGGCAGCUGCAGAAGAGUCACGGUCUUGGAACAGAAUGGAGAGAAGAUUCUGUCUCCUGUCAACGAUGUGGAUAUUGGGGUCUACCAGCUGAUGCAGAGUGAGCAGCUUCUCUCUCGAAAGGUUGAGUCUUUAUCCCAAGAAUCUGAGAGGUGCAAAGAGGAAGCCCGCCAAGCAUGCCGAGCUGGAAAGAAGCAGUUGGCACUGAGGUCUCUCAAGGCCAAGCAGAGGACAGAGAAACGCAUUGAGGACCCACACGCCAAGCUGGACACUGUUCAAGGCAUCCUGGAUCGCAUCUAUGCUUCCCAGAAAGACCAACUGGUUUUUAAUGCUUACCAAGCUGGUGUAGGAGCCUUGAAAAUCUCCAUGAGGGAUGUCACAGUGGAGAAGGCAGAGAGCCUUAUGGACCAGAUCCUGGAGCUGUGUGAUAUGCAGGAUGAAGUUUCUCAGACUGGCUGGCAGGGUAACCAAUGGUUUAGAUUUUGCCAGUGAGGAACUGGAGAAGGAGUUGGACAUCAUCCUUCAGGACACCACGAAAGAACCUUUGGAACUUCUCAACAACCCCUAUAAGACACUUUAUACCAAUAGUGUGCCUAAGCCUAAGAUCUUCGGUGCUGAACUUAAGGUUGAACUUGAGAAACUGUCCUUAUCAGAAGAAGGUUUGCAGGUCCUAAGCAGUAAAUCUCCAAAAAGGCAAUUGGAGCCGACUUUCUAAAGCUAUUGCAGGAAUUCAAGGGAAGGACCCUCGUGUAAAAGAGGGACAGCCUUGUGUGUGUACAUAGUUUUUUAAUGAGACCCACUGAGAAGUUGUUAAGAGGAGGAAAGAACCACUUGAAAGUAUCUGGAUGCUGCCACUCCUGACAGGACAGAUUCGGCUCCUGGAAGCCAUGCUGUGAAGGUGUGCUCCCAGCUGCUGUCAUGGACCUCCCUUCUCGUCUUUAUAGUGCCACAAUUUAUACAAUUCUGUGUAUGACCGUCGUCUCUGAUAGCCUGCAAUUCUCGCCAUUGGGUCCGUUAGGUUUGUCUUCACCCACCAGCUUCGUUCCAGCCAGUGAAGGUGAAAGGUUCGCAGCUUUGCCCAUCAGAGCCAGCCCUGUCUUCCACUCUUGAGGUU